GACGAACGCUGGCGGCGUGCUUAACACAUACAAGUCGAACGGUGAAGCGCUUGCCUUUUUGGUGGGUGUGGAUGAGUGGCGAACGGGUGAGUAACACGUGAGUAACCUGCCCUCUUCUUCUGGAUAACCUCAUGAAAGUGGGGCUAAUACGGGGUAUUCCGGGUCUGUCGCAUGGCGGGUUUGGGAAAGAUUGCGCCUUUGGGUGUUUUCGGUGGGGGAUGGGCUCGCGGCCUAUCAGCUUGUUGGUGGGGUGAUGGCCUACCAAGGCGGUGACGGGUAGCCGGCCUGAGAGGGUGGACGGCCACACUGGGACUGAGACACGGCCCAGACUCCUGCGGGAGGCAGCAGUGGGGAAUAUUGCACAAUGGGCGCAAGCCUGAUGCAGCGACGCCGCGUGAGGGAUGGAGGCCUUCGGGUUGUGAACCUCUUUCGCCAGUGAAGCAGGCCUGCUCCUGUGUGGGUGGGUUGACGGUAGCUGGAUAAGAAGCGCCGGCUAACUACGUG
rnacentral:rRNA from 1 species